GACGAACGCUGGCGGCGUGCUUAACACAUGCAAGUCGAACGGUAAGGCCCUUCGGGGUACACGAGUGGCGAACGGGUGAGUAACACGUGGGUGAUCUGCCCUGCACUUCGGGAUAAGCCUGGGAAACUGGGUCUAAUACCGGAUAGGACCCUGGGAUGCAUGUCCUGGGUGGGAAAGCUUUUGCGGUGUGGGAUGGGCCGGCGGCCUAUCAGCUUGUUGGUGGGGUGAUGGCCUACCAAGGCGACGACGGGUAGCCGGCCUGAGAGGGUGACCGGCCACACUGGGACUGAGAUACGGCCCAGACUCCUACGGGAGGCAGCAGUGGGGAAUAUUGCACAAUGGGCGCAAGCCUGAUGCAGCGACGCCGCGUGAGGGAUGACGGCCUUCGGGUUGUAAACCUCUUUCAGCACCGACGAAGCGCAAGUGACGGUAGGUGCAGAAGAAGGACCGGCCAACUACGUGCCAGCAGCCGCCGUAA
rnacentral:rRNA from 1 species